rnacentral:pre_miRNA from 1 species
AACAUACUCCCUCCGUCCCAAAAUUCUUGUCUUAGAUUUGUCUAGAUACAGAUGUAUCUAAUACUAAAACGUGACUUGAUACAUCCGUAUCUAGACAAAUCUAAGACAAGAAUUUUGGGACGGAGGGAGUACUAU